UGACGGACAGCCGGAUGAUUUUAUCCUCCGCUGACUACAACUAACCCGCAUCUGGUGGGGGGGGCUUUAACACCCUGGUGACCAGGUCUGUGUGACCAGGUGUGUGUUUGUGUGACCAGGUGUGUGUGUGUGUGUGUGUGUGUGUGUGAGACCAGGUAGGUGUGACCAGGUGUGUGUGUGUGUGUGUGUGU